UACGUAGGGUGCGAGCGUUGUCCGGAAUUACUGGGCGUAAAGAGCGCGCAGGCGGUCGUUCAAGUCGCGUGUGAAAGCCCCCGGCUCAACUGGGGAGGGUCACGCGAUACUGAUCGACUCGAAGGCAGGAGAGGGUAGUGGAAUUCCCGGUGUAGUGGUGAAAUGCGUAGAUAUCGGGAGGAACACCAGUGGCGAAGGCGACUACCUGGCCUGUUCUUGACGCUGAGGCGCGAAAGCUAGGGGAGCAAACGGG
rnacentral:rRNA from 1 species